rnacentral:rRNA from 1 species
CCUACGGGAUGCAGCAGUGAGGCAUAUUGGUCAAUGUGCGUAAGCCUGAACCAGCCAAGUCGCGUGAGGGAUGAAGGUUCUAUGGAUCGUAAACCUCUUUUAUAAGGGAAUAAAGUGUGGGACGUGUCCUGUUUUGUAUGUACCUUAUGAAUAAGGAUCGGCUAACUCCGUGCCAGCAGCCGCGGUAAUACGGAGGAUCCGAGCGUUAUCCGGAUUUAUUGGGUUUAAAGGGUGCGUAGGCGGCCUUUUAAGUCAGCGGUGAAAGUCUGUGGCUCAACCAUAGAAUUGCCGUUGACACUGGAAGGCUUGAGUAUGUUUGAGGCAGGCGGAAUGUGUGGUGUAGCGGUGAAAUGCUUAGAUAUCACGCAGAACCCCGAUUGCGAAGGCAGCCUGCCAAGCCAUGACUGACGCUGAUGCACGAAAGCGUGGGGAUCAAACAGGAUUAGAUACCCCAGUAGUC